rnacentral:lncRNA from 1 species
GAGAACCCGCCCCCUUUGCCGGAACUAUCGCAUCUUCCAACGGAAAUCUAGUUGCCAAAAGAGGUGGAAAUGCGUCAUUGGCUAGAGAUCCCAUCAGAUCUGGAGCUGCUGGCCUACGCCACAGCCACAGCAACACCAGAUCCAAGCCGGUUCUGCGACCUACACCACAGCUCACAGCAACGCUGGAUCCUUAACCCACUGAGCGAGGCCAGGGACCGACCCCUCGUCCUCAGGGAAUGCUAGUCAGGUUCAUUACCGCUGAGCCAUGACGGGACCUCCUGCAUUUAGAUUUUUAGCGAACAUCUACUUCGCGCCUCACCUCAAGUCAGUUGCUGGGGAGAAGCAGAAAGGAGGCGUGGGCUGGGCUAGUGCGCAGGUGGACUCAGCCCACCCCUAGUGAGGCUCCCUGCCUGGACUUCUGGGAGAGGCUUGAAUGAGCCUUGAAGGAGAUACCUGACUAUCAAAGGAGGGGGCGAAACAGCAUCCCGAGCCAAGGAAAUGACAUUGUGAAAGCCUCCAAGAUGUUUGGGGUUCAUGACUCCUUGGCACAGUUAAGGCCUGGGGUCCACGGGACAGUCGGGGGAGAGAUGAAGUGAUGAGGCCGAAACCAGAGCAGCGGCUGACUGCACCUCAGGAGUCUGCGGGGGAAGGACUUUGUGGACGUGGCGAUUAUCUCAACUGUUUGUGGGGCAAUCACAGGAGCAUCUGGGGAGAAAACUGGCCCCAGAAGGAAAAGGGCUGCAGGCGGGAAGACCAGAAAGGAUGCUGUUCAGAUGGCCCAGGUGAAAGCCAGUGAGGGCCUAGACUGAGCAGACGUGGUGGGAUGGAGGGGCCCCAGGAGACAGCUCUGGAUUUGGCAGUUGCGGGGGAGGAGCUAGAACAUUGUGCUUUUACAAGAGUGGGUUAUUUAUCCAAAAACAAACAAAACAAAACAACAGCAACAACAGGGCAUUGCCGCAAGCUGUGGUGUAGGCUGCAGAUGUGGCUCGGAUCCAGCGUGGCUGUGGCUGUGCCGUAAGCCAGCAGCUGCAGCUCCGAUUCGAGCCCAGGAACUUCCAUAUGCCUCAGGUGGGGCCCUAGAAAAGGACAGAAAAAAAAAAAAA